GUUUCACUGAAACAUCACCACGAGAAGAGAGAGCACCCGAUUCCCCUGCAAGGAAUGGGGUGUUAUCUACCAGGGGCACUUCACCCCAGGACUUCCUGAGCUCCUUGCCAUACUGAAUCUCCAACAACAACCUGGAUGAGUAGUAACCCAGCAGCACUGACAGGCAGCACCAGGGUUACAAACAACUUUCUCUGCUGAGACAUCUCCUGCUGUAAUUACAGCCGAGGCUUCUUGCUCAUCCUUCAAGAACAGAAACCAGCAGAGCUUCCAGCCACAACAGCCAGGCAGCUGAACAACAGCAAUCCAAACAAGCAAGGAGCUGUUCGACACAGCAGUGGAGGACACCUUGAUCACAGCCAUGGCGCCAGCAUGGAAAUAUCUGGAGCACAGGGAGCAAAACACCUGUGGCUUGGGAAAGAGAGGCAGCCCAUUGGGAUGUACGCACGGGGCAACGCGGCAAGGCUGCGUUUCACACUGAAACGGCAAGUACCUGUGAGUGCUGUGCCAAAACCUGCCCCUGGCAGGGUGCCUACAGAAGGUACCAAACACCUCUGAGAGCAGAGGCAUCUCCUGAAUAUCCCACAACACAGCAACCACCACAGCGAGGUCACAGCUGAGGCUGGUCACAGCAAUGAGCCAGUGCUACAGCCAGAACAAGAGCUCCAGGUACUUGGCCACCCCGUGAUUGUCACCAUGAGCCCACUUAGGGGUGGAGGCCAAGCACAGCCCCCAUAAUGAAGCACCUGAGAAGCACAUCAAAGGAGGAGCCAGCUGAAAAGCAGAGCAAUGUUUUAUGUACCACUACAGCACCACUCUACUCAGCUCUUUUCUGUAUCUGUUCUCAGUAUUACCCACAAAGCAAAAGACUUACUAAUGCCUAUCCCAAAAGGCACCCUGGUCUUUUCAGGGGGUGAACUCCAAAUGCCAACCCUUCACCAGAUCUUUUCCACCCUCUCCAAGAUGCCUCAAGGCCAGCUGCCAGCAUCAGGGUGCCUCCUCCAUCAUGCUUUGUUAACAUAAGGAAAUUACCAAGAAUUAAGUUAAAAGCAAGACCAAGAUCUGUCUGUGCUGUCACCAUGCAGGCUCAAGACACACUGAAUUUCAACAGUCUAUUUCAGCAAUCCCAGCAUUAACACCUAAA